rnacentral:tRNA from 1 species
GGAGAAGUGGCCGAGGGGCCGAAGGCGUCGGUUUGCUACAUCGAUGUGCCGCGCCUGCGCGGUACCGUGGGUUCGAAUCCCACCUUCUCCG